rnacentral:rRNA from 1 species
CGCUGAAGGAGGAGCUUGCUUCUCCGGAUGAUUGCGAACGGGUGAGUAACGCGUAGUAACCUGCCUGGUACGGGGGAUAACUAUUGGAAACGAUAGCUAAUACCGCAUAACAGUAGAUGUUGCAUGACAUUUGCUUAAAAGGUGCAAUUGCAUCACUACCAGAUGGACCUGCGUUGUAUUAGCUAGUUGGUGGGGUAACGGCUCACCAAGGCGACGAUACAUAGCCGACCUGAGAGGGUGAUCGGCCACACUGGGACUGAGACACGGCCCAGACUCCUACGGGAGGCAGCAGUAGGGAAUCUUCGGCAAUGGACGGAAGUCUGACCGAGCAACGCCGCGUGAGUGAAGAAGGUUUUCGGAUCGUAAAGCUCUGUUGUAAGAGAAGAACGAGUGUGAGAGUGGAAAGUUCACACUGUGACGGUAUCUUACCAGAAAGGGACGGCUAACUACGUGCCAGCAGCCGCGGUAAUACGUAGGUCCCGAGCGUUGUCCGGAUUUAUUGGGCGUAAAGCGAGCGCAGGCGGUUAGAUAAGUCUGAAGUUAAAGGCUGUGGCUUAACCAUAGUACGCUUUGGAAACUGUUUAACUUGAGUGCAAGAGGGGAGAGUGGAAUUCCAUGUGUAGCGGUGAAAUGCGUAGAUAUAUGGAGGAACACCGGUGGCGAAAGCGGCUCUCUGGCUUGUAACUGACGCUGAGGCUCGAAAGCGUGGGGAGCAAACAGGAUUAGAUAACCUGGUAGUCCACGCUGUAAACGAUGAGUGCUAGGUGUUAGACCCU